CUGCCCAGUAGANCGACCCGCGAACGAGUGAAAACAUGCACNUGNGNUUCGAGGAGGGGCGUGCCCCCGAUCGUCCGUNNNUCGGACCACGGUCCCUCGCCGCGGCCGCGCCGAAUGGACGACCGCAGGGCGGGAUGGUGUCUNCAAACUAAACCAAAAACNGGCGCUACAAGCGCCAAUGAAAUCAUAGCGGAAACGAGGGGUCGCACCAUUCGCGGUCGCGACCUUCGGGAUUCGAUACUCGAACGACUCUCAGCAACGAAUAUCUCGGCUCUUACAUCGAUGAAGAACGUAGCAAAAUACGAUACUUGGUGUGAAUUACAGAAUCCCUUGAACCAUCGAGUCUUUGGACGCAAGUUGCGCCGGAGGCCACUAAGUCGAGGGCACGUCUGCCUGGGUGUCACACACAGCGUCGCACCCCGCCAACGUAAUUGGCCCCCCGGUCCCUUUAGGCCACGGUCGGCACAAAUGUUGGUCCCUGACGGCGAUCGUCGUGGUCAGCGGUGGUUGUACUAUUCACCCCUGAAGACAUCAAGACGCGCUGCUCCGCUGCACGACGGGACAAAUGACCCCACGUAACCGCCUCACUCGACAUCCACCUUAUGACCCCAGGUCAGACGGGACUACCCACUUAGUUUAA
rnacentral:rRNA from 1 species